rnacentral:lncRNA from 1 species
AGCAGCUAGCAGAGCUGGCAGCUGCCAUUGUGAGGAUGUGAUUGUGAUUGGUGCUGGCAAAUUGGAUAUUUCAGACAGGGUCCUUAAGGUCCCUGUUGCAUAAUUAUUUUCUGAACCGAGAUUGUUUCGGCUGAUUAUUUUCUGAAAAGCUGAAAAGCUGAAACGGCUGAUUUGUUGUGAGAGGAAAACACUGUUUGGUGGCUGAUAAGCCGACUGAAUAAGCUGAAGCGAACAGGCCGAAUUUUCUCGGACCCCGGAGAUGAAUCAUUGCCAGUGUGGCGAGAGCAUCUCUCUCUUCUUGACUUCUCUCCUUGGUCGUCUCCUCUUCCUCCCUCGGCUCUCGAGAGCUGCUCUUUUUUUUUUUUCUGAAUUGCAACAUUGGUGCUGCGAGAGCUGCUCUUUUUUUUUCUUUUGCUCAUUGUUUCACAUUUGAUAAUGUAUUACACGCCCUUGUGCGCCUGUACUACCACGAAGUGCACAUUUGGGAUGAGGCUUCAUCUGUAUCUGUCUGAAUUGCAACUUUAGAGCUCUAGAAGCUGCUCUUAUUUCUUUCUUUCCCUUAUUGUUUCACGUUGGAUAAUUUAUACGCCCUUGCGCAUCCGUACCACUACCAUGAAGUGCAAAUUUGAUCCAUUACCCAUCCAAUCGAGCUGAUGUAUUUCCUGAAAGGAUACUUUUAUUUAAAAUUU